rnacentral:rRNA from 1 species
CGCGUAGGCGGCUUUUUAAGUUAGGAGUGAAAGUCCUGCUUUCAAGGUGGGAAUUGCUUUUAAUACUGGAAAGCUUGAGUGCAGAAGAGGUAAGUGGAAUUCCCAGUGUAGCGGUGAAAUGCGUAGAGAUUGGGAAGAACACCAGUGGCGAAGGCGACUUACUGGGCUGUAACUGACGCUGAGGCGCGAAAGCGUGGGGAGCAAACA